GAUGAACGCUGGCGGCGUGCCUAAUACAUGCAAGUCGAGCGAACGGACGAGAAGCUUGCUUCUCUGAUGUUAGCGGUGGACGGGUGAGUAACACGUGGAUAACCUACCUAUAAGACUGGGAUAACUUCGGGAAACCGGAGCUAAUACCGGAUAAUAUUUUGAACCGCAUGGUUCAAAAGUGAAAGACGGUCUUGCUGUCACUUAUAGAUGGAUACGCGCUGCAUUAGCUAGUUGGUAAGGUAACGGCUUACCAAGGCAACGAUGCAUAGCCGACCUGAGAGGGUGAUCGGCCACACUGGAGCUGAGACACGGUCCAGACUCCUGCGAGAGGCAGCAGUAGGGAAUCUUACGCAAUGGGCGAAAGCCUGACGGAGCAACGCCGCGUGAGUGAUGAAGGUCUUCGGAUCGUAAAACUCUGUUAUUAGGGAAGAACAUAUGUGUAAGUAACUGUGCACAUCUUGACGGUACCUAAUCAGGAAGCCACGGCUAACUACGUG
rnacentral:rRNA from 1 species